AUUGAACGCUGGCGGCAGGCCUAAAACAUGCAAGUCGAACGCCCUAGCAAUAGGGAGUGGCGCACGGGUGAGUAACACGUGGGAAUAUGCCUUUUGGUACGGAACAACGUCUGGAAACGGACGCUAAUGCCGUAUGGUCCCUUCGGGGUAAAGAUUUAUCGCCAAAAGAUUAGCCCGCGUCUGAUUAGCUAGUUGGUGAGGUAAUGGCUCACCAAGGCGACGAUCAGUAGCUGGUCUGAGAGGACGAUCAGCCACACUGGGACUGAGACACGGCCCAGACUCCUACGGGAGGCAGCAGUUAGGAAUAUUGGACAAUGGACGCAAGUCUGAUCCAGCCAUGCCGCGUGAGUGAUGAAGGCCUUCGGGUUGUAAAGCUCUUUAGUCCACGAUUAUAAUGACUGUAGUGGAAGAAUAAGCCCCGGCUAACUUCGUACCAGCCGCCGCCGUAACAC
rnacentral:rRNA from 1 species